GGAAGUAAAAGUCGUAACAAGGUUUCCGUAGGUGAACCUGCGGAAGGAUCAUUAACGAGUUUUGACUGGGUUGUAGCUGGCCUUUCCGAGGCAUGUGCACGCCCUGCUCAUCCACUCUACACCUGUGCACUUACUGUGGGCUUCAGUCGUCGUGAAGCGGGCUCUUAACUGAGCUUGUGGAGCGCGUCUGUACCUGCGUUUAUCACAAACUCUAUAAAGUAUUAGAAUGUGUAUUGCGAUGUAACGCAUCUAUAUACAACUUUCAGCAACGGAUCUCUUGGCUCUCGCAUCGAUGAAGAACGCAGCGAAAUGCGAUAAGUAAUGUGAAUUGCAGAAUUCAGUGAAUCAUCGAAUCUUUGAACGCACCUUGCGCUCCUUGGUAUUCCGAGGAGCAUGCCUGUUUGAGUGUCAUGAAAUCUUCAACUUACAGACCCUUGUGGGUUUUGUAGGCUUGGACUUGGAGGCUUGUCGGCCGUGUUUCGGUCGGCUCCUCUUAAAUGCAUUAGCUUGAUUCCUUGCGGAUCGGCUCUCGGUGUGAUAAUGUCUACGCCGCGACCGUGAAGCGUUUUGGCGAGCUUCUAACCGUCCUCGUUUGGACAACUCUAUGACCUCUGACCUCAAAUCAGGUAGGACUACCCGCUGAACUUAAGCAUAUCAAUAA
rnacentral:rRNA from 1 species